CUGGCGGCGUGCUUAACACAUGCAAGUCGAACGUUAAAGGCCCUGCUUUUGUGGGGUGCUCGAGUGGCGAACGGGUGAGUAACACGUGAGUAACCUGCCCUUGACUUUGGGAUAACUUCAGGAAACUGGGGCUAAUACCGGAUAGGAGCUCCUGCUGCAUGGUGGGGGUUGGAAAGUUUCGGCGGUUGGGGAUGGACUCGCGGCUUAUCAGCUUGUUGGUGGGGUAGUGGCUUACCAAGGCUUUGACGGGUAGCCGGCCUGAGAGGGUGACCGGCCACAUUGGGACUGAGAUACGGCCCAGACUCCUACGGGAGGCAGCAGUGGGGAAUAUUGCACAAUGGGCGGAAGCCUGAUGCAGCAACGCCGCGUGCGGGAUGACGGCCUUCGGGUUGUAAACCGCUUUCGCCUGUGACGAAGCGUGAGUGACGGUAAUGGGUAAAGAAGCACCGGCUAACUACGUGCCAGCAGCCGCGGUGAUACGUAGGGUGCGAGCGUUGUCCGGAUUUAUUGGGCGUAAAGGGCUCGUAGGUGGUUGAUCGCGUCGGAAGUGUAAUCUUGGGGCUUAACCCUGAGCGUGCUUUCGAUACGGGUUGACUUGAGGAAGGUAGGGGGGAAUGGAAUUCCUGGUGGAGCGGUGGAAUGCGCAGAUAUCAGGAGGAACACCAGUGGCGAAGGCGGUUCUCUGGGCCUUUCCUGACGCUGAGGAGCGAAAGCGUGGGGAGCGAACAGGCUUAGAUACCCUGGUAGUCCACGCUGUAAACGGUGGGUACUAGGUGUGGGGUCCAUUCCACGGGUUCCGUGCCGUAGCUAACGCUUUAAGUACCCCGCCUGGGGAGUACGGCCGCAAGGCUAAAACUCAAAGGAAUUGACGGGGCCCCGCACAAGCGGCGGAGCAUGCGGAUUAAUUCGAUGCAACGCGUAGAACCUUACCUGGGUUUGACAUGGAUCGGGAGUGCUCAGAGAUGGGUGUGCCUCUUUUGGGGUCGGUUCACAGGUGGUGCAUGGCUGUCGUCAGCUCGUGUCGUGAGAUGUUGGGUUAAGUCCCGCAACGAGCGCAACCCUUGUUCACUGUUGCCAGCACGUUAUGGUGGGGACUCAGUGGAGACCGCCGGGGUCAACUCGGAGGAAGGUGGGGAUGACGUCAAGUCAUCAUGCCCCUUAUGUCCAGGGCUUCACGCAUGCUACAAUGGCUGGUACAGAGAGUGGCGAGCCUGUGAGGGUGAGCGAAUCUCGGAAAGCCGGUCUCAGUUCGGAUUGGGGUCUGCAACUCGACCUCAUGAAGUCGGAGUCGCUAGUAAUCGCAGAUCAGCAACGCUGCGGUGAAUACGUUCCCGGGGCUUGUACACACCGCCCGUCAAGUCAUGAAAGUUGGUAACACCCGAAGCCGGUGGCCUAACCGUUGUGGGGGAGCCGUCGAAGGUGGGACUGGUGAAUAG
rnacentral:rRNA from 1 species